rnacentral:rRNA from 1 species
AACGAACGCUGGCGGCAGGCUUAACACAUGCAAGUCGAACGCCCCGCAAGGGGAGUGGCAGACGGGUGAGUAACGCGUGGGAAUCUACCCAGUUCUACGGAACAACACAGGGAAACUUGUGCUAAUACCGUAUACGCCCUACGGGGGAAAGAUUUAUCGGAAUUGGGUGAGCCCGCGUUGGAUUAGCUAGUUGGUGGGGUAAUGGCCUACCAAGGCGACGAUCCAUAGCUGGUCUGAGAGGAUGAUCAGCCACACUGGGACUGAGACACGGCCCAGACUCCUACGGGAGGCAGCAGUGGGGAAUAUUGGACAAUGGGCGCAAGCCUGAUCCAGCCAUGCCGCGUGAGUGAUGAAGGCCUUAGGGUUGUAAAGCUCUUUCAGUGGGGACGAUAAUGACGGUACCCACAGAAGAAGCCCCGGCUAACUUCGUGCCAGCAGCCGCCGUAAAAC